AUCAUCAGUCCAUUCAAAUGGAACAUUCUUUUUAUUUAAUCUUGUUAUAUGCCUAGAAUAAUCGGCGAAAUUUUUGAUGAAUCAUCUGUAGUAAUUACAAAAUGCUAUAAAUCGUCUAGCGCUAUCCGAGUCAUGUGGAACUGGAUAAUUUAAUAUGACAUCAAACUUUUUGUCAUCUGGAUGUAGCUUCAAGUUGUGUAGGAAACACAUGUCAAAAACACUAAUUAAAUUGUUAAGCAUGUGUUUUUCGGAACAACGGAUUACUAUGAAGUCAUCCAUAUAAAGGAAUGCUUGUGAUGGUUCAAGACCAGAGAAUGCAAUUGUCAUCAUUCUUUGGAAUGAAUUUGCGGCUAUUUUCAAACCAAAUGGCAAUCGCGUGAAGCGAUAAGAGCCAUUGCUCGUUGAAAAGGAUGUUAUAUCUCUAGAGUUUUUGUCUAGCUCAAUUUGAUGGAAUCCUGACAUUAAGUCAAGGCAAGAAAAUAACAGUGGACUGUUGUAUUCUGAGGCUGAUGGUUCAACUAUUCCAUCUUUAAUUAGUUUAUGAGGAUUUCUAUAAUUUUUUAUAUAUACAGGUUCAUCAUCUUUUAAUCUUAGUUUCUGCUUAUAAAAAUUAUUUGUUGUAAUUGGUUCGGUUUCAAGUCCGAAUAUGU